AUUUUGGACAGCUCUGUGCUUUUUAAACCUUUAUGAUGCAGAUAUCUCUCAAGAUGUUUCAGUGACAUCCAGAGGUGAUUGCUGUGGACAGCUUUCUGUGAAGAUGCCUUUGUCACUAUUAUUGAGAGCCCACACUCUGCAAAGGAAAGCCCUCUAUGAUUAGCGCAUUACCGGCUGUUUGUGGAUUUGCCUGCAGCAUCGUGACUUGCAUUUUCUUCAAGGAUUCUCUGUCAAGGUUACUGUCAGCAGUUCAUCACCUCUAACUGAAGACAUACAAGCAAUAUAUGGCUGCCAUGAGGAUAAUAAUCAUUAUUCUCCAGGAACAAGUCCCGAUGAAUUAUCUGGACCUAAGUGGUCAGUCCUAAGCACAUAUAUAUGUGAGCAACACUACGUGGGCUCAGCAGGUUGUAUUUAUUUAUGCAUUUUCAUGUUUUUAAAUAAUGAAAAAAGAGGCCAUGGGAGAACUUGUGGCACUAGAGGUGUUUGAAUGGUGAAAAUAGGACAUAGAAAUAAUGUAAACUUAGCACUAUUGUCUAAAAUUCUCACAAAGUAGUAACGAAAUAAAUGUUUCAAAGAUAGACCUUUGUAUUCA
rnacentral:lncRNA from 1 species